rnacentral:rRNA from 1 species
CUUCGGCCGUAAACCCUGUCAUUUGCGAACAAAUUAAUCUACCCAACGCGUGGAGUUAUUGAUUGUAGCGAAGGAGGAAGGGACGGCCUAACUCUGUGC